GAUGAACGCUGGCGGCGUGCCUAAUACAUGCAAGUCGAGCGAACAGACGAGGAGCUUGCUCCUUCGACGUUAGCGGCGGACGGGUGAGUAACACGUAGGUAACCUACCUAUAAGACUGGGAUAACUUCGGGAAACCGGAGCUAAUACCGGAUAAUAUUUCGAACCGCAUGGUUCGAUAGUGAAAGAUGGCUUUGCUAUCACUUAUAGAUGGACCUGCGCCGUAUUAGCUAGUUGGUAAGGUAACGGCUUACCAAGGCAACGAUACGUAGCCGACCUGAGAGGGUGAUCGGCCACACUGGAACUGAGACACGGUCCAGACUCCUACGGGAGGCAGCAGUAGGGAAUCUUCCGCAAUGGGCGAAAGCCUGACGGAGCAACGCCGCGUGAGUGAUGAAAGUCUUCGGAUCGUAAAACUCUGUUAUUAGGGAAGAACAAACGUGUAAGUAACUGUGCACGUCUUGACGGUACCUAAUCAGAAAGCCACGGCUAACUACGUG
rnacentral:rRNA from 1 species